rnacentral:misc_RNA from 1 species
GGCAAUAAUAGACAGAAUUAUGUCCCACCGAAGCCAUCGAGGCAAAUUAUCCACGAAACCUUUGGCCAUCUGGAGGCAGUUUGGCAGGGUUAAGGAAGAAGGGAAGAGAGUAACCCUUGAUUCCUUCGAAUUGGAAGUGUGAGAAUGCAAAUUCCAAACUGAAGGAAGAAAGGUAGUUUGGCAAGGCUUAGAAAGAAGGGAAGAGAGCACACCCUUGAUUCCUUCUAAUUGGAAUAAUUGCGCGAAUGCAAAUUCCUAAUUGGAAAAAUUGUGACCGCAAAUUCCAAAUUGAAGGGAAGUGAGUAUACCCUUAGCCUAUC